ensembl:miRNA MIR521-1 microRNA 521-1
UCUCAUGCUGUGACCCUCCAAAGGGAAGUACUUUCUGUUGUCUAAAAGAAAAGAACGCACUUCCCUUUGGAGUGUUACCGUUUGAGA